AUGGCGGCCGCGCAUGCGCCCUACCAUAAGCCCCUAUAAAGAUGACGCCCGUUGCUCGGGCCUGUCUCCGAGGAGAGACGCAGCCACAGGGUAUUAGAAGGGCUGGAUUUGGAGAGAGAAAACUCAAACCAAAACAUCACAUCAAGAUCUGACAGUCUCUCAAUUCACCAGGACGUGAAUGCCAUCAUUUUGGAAUGUGGAAGGAGAAAUGUUUGUCUGUUCUGCCUGUGGGAAAGGAUUUCAAACAUCAGUGUGACUGGAAAAGCACUGAGACACACACACACCCAAGUGAGAGUGUUCCAGUGAACUGACUGUGGAAAGAGCUUUAACCAGUUACACAGCCUGAAAAAAGCAUUGCACUAUUCAAGCGGGAAGAAACUGAACAUGUGUUUUGUGUGUGGAUGUGGCUUCAAUUGAUCAUCCAUCCUGCAGAGACUCAAGGACACCCGAACAAUGGAAAAACUGUGGAAAUGUGGUGACUGUGGGAAGGGAUUCAAUUACCUAUCCCAGCUGGAAAACCAUCAACGCAGUCACACUGGGGAGAGGCCGUUCACCUGCUCCGAGUGUGGGAAGGGAUUCAUUCAAUCAUUUGACAUGCUGAGACACCAGCGAGUUCACACUGGAGAGAGACCAUUCACCUGCUCCAAGUGUGGGGAAAGAUUCACUCAGUUAUCCAACCUGCAAACACAUCAACAGGUUCACGCUGGGGAGAGACCUUUCACUUGCCCUGUAUGUGGGUCCUCUGACCUGCUGAAGCACCAACAAAUUCACACUGGGGAGAGGCCAUUCAAGUUGUAGUUCCUGUGGAAAGAGAUUCAAGUUUUCUUCCAACCUGCUGAGACACUGGAGAGACCAUGCAGAUGCUCAACUGUGGGAAGAAAUUCACUCAGUCAUCCAACCUAAUGACGCACCAGAGGGUUCACACUAGGGAGAGGCGGUUCACCUGCUCCAAGUAUGAGAAGGGAUUCAUUCACUCAUCUCACUUGCUGAUGCACCAGUGAGUUCACAAGUGACUGCAGGGAUUGGAUUCUGCUGUUAUUGCUGCUUUUAACCACAGCCAGGUCUGAACCAUGUUCAAUUUUACAGUUGGGGUUUGUCUCUGUUGAUGUUAGCAAUCCCAGUAACUGGGCUUUAGUUUAAUAUUCUGGAUCUGUGUUCUUGUGGCUGCAGUGUCUCUUUAAGAAUGGCUGUCACUGAUCUUUCCCCAUAAUUCAGGGACUCUCAUAAGAAAUUAGUUUACAACAAGAUUCUGAACUUUUACUUCAAUCUUAAAUUAUCUUUGGUAUGAACUCAACAAUUCAGUAUCUGAGAGGUUCUGCUGAUUAACAUCUCCAAUUAGAAAGUGCUGAUUAAUCCUUGCUGACAAUUCCUACUGACUUGCACAUUACUCACAGCGACACCUCCAUUAUUCACCAGAAAGAAGGGGAAUGGGAAUUGGGGGAGAAUCGAAAGUUCCCAAAUGUUACCACUCCUGCCUAGUACAGAAAUCCCCUCAGCACGGGAAUGGAGACAAGUUAAAUCCAAGUAAAGGAAUGCAAGAAAUCGCUUAAUAAUACUCCUAUGAAAUAUUCAGAAAUUUAGGGAAUAUUAUAAAAAUAACUCACUCUCUCUUAUAAAGAAAGCUUCCAUAGCAGUUUGCUGGCUGACAAACACAGGACAGGCCUGUUCUCUCUGCCAAGGACAUGUCUCUAGCACAGGCCCUGAAACAAGACAUUUCUAACCCUGAUAUGAUUGGAUCUCAUGACCCUUACGUAAACCAACUGUCUAUGUAAAGGUUAAAACAGGCUCUCGAGAGCACAGAUAUAUUGACGUGAUCCACACUGGCUGCAGCCUAACACCCACACUGUGGCUCACACCAGUUAACCAUUCAGAGGAGACUGACACCACCAGCGACAGAGACCAGCACUCACUCUGCGUCAUCCGUCAGUUUGUCCUCCAGGACCGGUAAACUGUUCUCAACUGUCACAGGUCAUGUGUUUUCCUGUCUAUUUAGCUUAUGCAUCAUGUUUAAACUGUUACUUCUCAAUAAAUUACUUUAAAAUCA